CAGCAGCCCGGUAAUACGGAGGGUGCAAGCGUUAAUCGGAAUUACUGGGCGUAAAGCGCACGCAGGCGGUCUGACAAGUCAGAUGUGAAAUCCCCGGGCUUAACCUGGGAACUGCAUUUGAAACUGUCAGGCUGGAGUCUUGUAGAGGGGGGUAGAAUUCCAGGUGUAGCGGUGAAAUGCGUAGAGAUCUGGAGGAAUACCGGUGGCGAAGGCGGCCCCCUGGACAAAGACUGACGCUCAGGUGCGAAAGCGUGGGGAGCAAACAGGAUUAGAUACCCCAGUAGUCCCUGUCUCUUAUACC
rnacentral:rRNA from 1 species